rnacentral:rRNA from 1 species
UACGUAGGUGGCAAGCGUUAUCCGGAAUUACUGGGCGUAAAGCGCACGCAGGCGGUCUUUUAAGUUUGACGUGAAAGCUCCCGGCUUAACCGGGAGAGGUCGUUGAAGACUGGAAGACUUGAGGCAAUGAGAGGGGUGUAGAAUUCCCGGUGUAGCGGUGGAAUGCGUAGAGAUCGGGAAGAACAUCAGUGGCGAAGGCGGUCUGCUGGGCCGUUGCUGACGCUGAGGCGCGACAGCGUGGGGAGCAAACAGG